GCCGGUGUAGCUCAGCGGUAGAGCAACGGUUUUGUAAACCGUUGGUCGUCGGUUCGAUUCCGGCCACCGGCU
rnacentral:tRNA from 1 species